UACGUAGGGGGCAAGCGUUGUCCGGAAUCAUUGGGCGUAAAGCGCGCGUAGGCGGCCCGGUAAGUCCGUUGUGAAAGUCAAAGGCUCAACCUUUGAACGCCGAUGGAUACUGCCGGGCUAGAGUCCGGAAGAGGCGAGUGGAAUUCCUGGUGUAGCGGUGGAAUGCGCAGAUAUCAGGAGGAACACCAAUAGCGAAGGCAGCUCGCUGGGACGUGACUGACGCUGAGACGCGAAAGCGUGGGGAGCAAACAGG
rnacentral:rRNA from 1 species